rnacentral:sRNA from 1 species
AAUGAUAGCAAGCUUUUCUUGCCAAAUAAGUGUCUCUUUUUCCACUAUGGGAGUUAGGAAGUUCCCGACUAUUCUACUAGCUGAGUCUUACGUGAAAAUAUGCUGAAGUGUUAUUUCUGAAUUAUAUAUGAACAAGAAGGAGUAUAUAUUCACUCAUCUUGUGGAAAGACCAAUGACCAAGACGGCUUGAUUUCAGGAAUAUUACGUGUUUUAGAAAAGGAUGCCGAAGUAAUAGUGGACUGGAGACCAUUGGAUGAUGCAUUAGAUUCCUCUAGUAUUCUCUAUGCUAGAAAGGACUCCAGUUCAGUUGUAGAAUGGACUCAGGCCCCAAAAGAAAGAGGUCAUCGAGGAUCAGAACAUCUGAACAGUUACGAAGCAGAAUGGGACAUGGUUAAUACAGUUUCAUUUAAAAGGAAACCACAUACCAAUGGAGAUGCUCCAAGUCAUAGAAAUGGGAAAAGCAAAUGGUCAUUCCUGUUCAGUUUGACAGACCUGAAAUCAAUCAAGCAAAACAAAGAGGGUAUGGGCUGGUCCUAUUUGGUAUUCUGUCUAAAGGAUGACGUCGUUCUCCCUGCUCUACACUUUCAUCAAGGAGAUAGCAAAC